rnacentral:rRNA from 1 species
CCUACGGGUGGCAGCAGUUUCGAAUCGUUCACAAUGGGGGCAACCCUGAUGGCGCGACGCCGCGUGGGGGAUGAAGGUCUUCGGAUUGUAAACUCCUGUCAUUGGGGACUAAUGGCCAGGCUCAUACCCUGGUUUGAAUUAACCCAAAGAGGAAGCAGUGGCUAACUCUGUGCCAGCAGCCGCGGUAAUACAGAGACUGCAAGCGUUACUCGGAUUCACUGGGCGUAAAGGGAGCGCAGGCGGAUUGGUGUGUCAGGCGUGAAAUCCCGGGGCUCAACCCCGGGGCUGCGCCCGAAACUACUAAUCUAGAGACUUGGAGGGGUAAGCGGAAUUCUUGGUGGAGCAGUGAAAUGCGUAGAUAUCAAGAGGAACACCAACGGCGAAGGCAGCUUACUGGACAAGAUCUGACGCUCAGGCUCGAAAGCGUGGGGAGCAAAAGGGAUUAGAUACCCCUGUAGUC